rnacentral:rRNA from 1 species
GUCUAUAGCCACACCAUCUUGAAUGCUCCCAAUCUUGUCUGAUCUUAGGAACUAAGCAGGGUCAGGCCUAAUUAACUCUUGAACUGGAGAAA